AGUGAACGCUGGCGGUAGGCCUAACACAUGCAAGUCGAACGGCAGCACAGGAGAGCUUGCUCUCUGGGUGGCGAGUGGCGGACGGGUGAGGAAUACAUCGGACUCUACUCUGUCGUGGGGGAUAACGUAGGGAAACUUACGCUAAUACCGCAUACGACCUACGGGUGAAAGCAGGGGAUCUUCGGACCUUGCGCGAAUGACUGAGCCGAUGUCGGAUUAGCUAGUUGGCGGGGUAAAGGCCCACCAAGGCGACGAUCCGUAGCUGGUGUGAGAGGAUGAUCAGCCACACUGGAACUGAGACACGGUCCAGACUCCUACGGGAGGCAGCAGUGGGGAAUAUUGGACAAUGGGCGCAAGCCUGAUCCAGCCAUACCGCGUGGGUGAAGAAGGCCUUCGGGUUGUAAAGCCCUUUUGUUGGGAAAGAAAUCCAGCUGGCUAAUACCCGGUUGGGACGACGGUACCCAAAGAAUAAGCACCGGCUAACUUCGUGCCAGCCGCCGCAGUAA
rnacentral:rRNA from 1 species